rnacentral:rRNA from 1 species
AUUGAACGCUGGCGGCAGGCCUAACACAUGCCAGUCGAGCGGAUGAAGGGAGCUUGCUCCUGGAUUCAGCGGCGGACGGGUGAGUAAUGCCUAGGAAUCUGCCUGGUAGUGGGGGAUAACGUCCGGAAACGGGCGCUAAUACCGCAUACGUCCUGAGGGAGAAAGUGGGGGAUCUUCGGACCUCACGCUAUUAGAUGAGCCUAGGUCGGAUUAGCUAGUUGGUGGGGUAAAGGCCUACCAAGGCGACGAUCCGUAACUGGUCUGAGAGGAUGAUCAGUCACACUGGAACUGAGACACGGUCCAGACUCCUACGGGAGGCAGCAGUGGGGAAUAUUGGACAAUGGGCGAAAGCCUGAUCCAGCCAUGCCGCGUGUGUGAAGAAGGUCUUCGGAUUGUAAAGCACUUUAAGUUGGGAGGAAGGGCAGUAAGUUAAUACCUUGCUGUUUUGACGUUACCAACAGAAUAAGCACCGGCUAACUUCGUG